AUUCGACUGACGAGUCCCAAAUAGUGCUAGACGUGCGUCCUGGAU
rnacentral:hammerhead_ribozyme from 1 species